rnacentral:tRNA from 1 species
GCGGGUGUAGCUCAUUUGGCUAGAGCGCUUCCUUGCCAAGGAAGAGGCAGCGGGUUCAAGUCCCGUCACUCGCUCCA